AUUGAACGCUGGCGGCAGGCUUAACACAUGCAAGUCGAGCGGGGUGAUGGUGCUUGCACUAUCACUUAGCGGCGGACGGGUGAGUAAUGCUUAGGAAUCUGCCUAUUAGUGGGGGACAACAUCUCGAAAGGGAUGCUAAUACCGCAUACGUCCUACGGGAGAAAGCAGGGGAUCACUUGUGACCUUGCGCUAAUAGAUGAGCCUAAGUCGGAUUAGCUAGUUGGUGGGGUAAAGGCCUACCAAGGCGACGAUCUGUAGCGGGUCUGAGAGGAUGAUCCGCCACACUGGGACUGAGACACGGCCCAGACUCCUACGGGAGGCGGCAGUGGUGAAUAUUGGACAAUGGGGGGAACCCUGAUCCAGCCAUGCCGCGUGUGUGAAGAAGGCCUUAUGGUUGUAAAGCACUUUAAGCGAGGAGGAGGCUUACCUAGUUAAUACCUGGGAUAAGUGGACGUUACUCGCAGAAUGAGCACCGGCUAACUCUGUGCCAGCCGCCGCCGUAACAC
rnacentral:rRNA from 1 species